rnacentral:lncRNA from 1 species
CUCGUGUUACUGGUCGAGGAGGGGGAGUGGCAGCAAUCUAUCACUCCAAGUUAUUAAUUAAUCCUAGACCAAAAUAUGGCUCCAGUUCAUUUGAAAGCCUGACUCUUGGCAUCACCCAUCUGAACUGGAAGGCAGAAAAGCCACUUCUGUUUGUAGUUGUAUAUCGGCCCCCUGCUGGGCCACAUUCAGAGUUCCUGUCUGAGUUCUCUGAUUUCUUAUCUGACUUGGUCCUUAGAACAGACAAAGUCAUUACCCAAGCCCUGCAGAUUCUCACAGACCUCCAUCCUGAAGAGAGAUUUAACUGGCAAGCCAUAGAAGGAGCACUGAAACACCCCUUUGGCCGCCAUACUCAUGUCGACGACACCCGAGACAAGCUUGUCAGCCGACGGAGAGAAGAGGGAGAGAGUCUGGGUGCGUAUGCUGCGGAUCUCCGUUUUUAUGCCAGGCGCGGGUAUCCUACCUUCCACGCUACAGUAAAGGACGAGCUGGCGCUCCAAGCUUUCGUCCGAGGGCUUCAGCCAGAGCGACUACGAGAACACAUCCGCCUGCAUGCACCAAAGACCUUGACGGCAGCCCUGGCUGAAUCAGAGCGGGUUGAACAUGUGCUGUCCACGGGAGACCGCCCCACCAAUACAAGGUACAGAGUGCGUCAGGCUGCCUACGAGAGCGGGCUGGCAGGGAGUGAUGACGAAGAGGUCACCCGCCAAGCCACCACCACACCCCUGAAACGACCCCAACGAGGAACUAGGAGAACAGCCGGGCAGUCUAUGGAAAGAUGUUACCGGUGCGGAGAACCAGGUCACAUCGCGCGCCACUGCCCAGCACCAGCCCCACGAAGCCCAGCUCCUCAGCCUCCGUUAAACUAGAGUGGGGUGGCACAAUGGGGGAACUGUCACCCACGAAUCAUCCUCCCUCCUUUGCCAAGUCGCAGUGGCGUCUGGGUCGCCUGGGCCGGACAAAUGGACUGUACCUGGACUGUACUCUGAAUGACACCCCAUGCAGAGCCCUGGUGGAUACGGGGUCCACCAUUUCGCUGGUCCGGCCUGGAACGCUACCUGGUACAGAGGGCCCGAGACCGCGGGGUUGGAAACCCACUAAGCUUUGUAUAGCCACAGUCACCGGUGAGCGCGCCAGAAUGCGGGGUGAAGGAUCUCUCCAGGUAUGUGUUGCUAAUCGCACAAUUGAUCACGAGUUCUGGCUGACCGACAUACAAGACCCCUGCAUCAUCGGGCUGGAUCUGCUAGCCAAGUGGGAGGCUGUGGUCGACCUUCCCAGGACUACACUUUACCUGGGUUCUGAGGCCAUUACGCUUCACCCUACCUGUGAGAAGGGACUGAGACAAGCGCUCUCUCCACAGCCAAGCACUCGGGUCCCCUCCAUGCAACCACCACCAGCCAGAGUCAAGGAAGAGUCCACAUCAUCAUUGCCACCCCAAGUGCCAUCAGGUGAGACUAAGCAAGCUGUUGAUGACCUGUACCUGAGAAGUUGUGAGGGCCUACAGGCGGACCAGACAUGCAAGCUUCGGGAGCUGCUGGAGCGGUUCGCCGACAUCUUUGCAGCCAGGGAUGAGGACUGUACACACACGAGUCUGGUACAACAUGAGAUCAACACUGGUGAUGCUCGCCACAUCCGUCUCCGCCCCCGUCGCCUGCCGCUGGCCAAGCAGACUGCAGCUGAAGAAAAGAUCAAAGAGAUGGCAGGUGCAGGCAUCAUCGAACCCUCCAGUAGCCCUUGGGCAUCUCCCGCUGUCCUGGACUCCUAUCCACUACCCCGUGUGGAUGAUGCCCUUGAUUACAUCGCAGGGUCCUGCUGGUUCAGCUCCCUUGAUCUUCGCAGCGGCUAUUGGCAGGUGGAGUUGGCACCGGAUGCACGCCCAAAGACCGCCUUUUCCAUUGGCCAGGGGCUGUGGCAAUUUAAAGUCAUGCCUUUCGGCCUCUGCAACGCUCCGGCCACCUUCGAGUGCCUUAUGGAGAGGGUCCUGGCUGGAAUUCCUCGAAGUCACUGUGUCGUCUACUUGGAUGACCUCCUCUCCCACGCUGCUGAUUUCGAGAGUGCUGUGACCAACUUGGAGGUGGUCUUCCACGCCAUUCGCCGGGCUGGGCUGCGUCUCCAUCCUAAGAAGUGUCACCUUUUCCGACGAGAGACAUCCUUCUUGGGCCAUGUCGUCAGUGCAGCAGGGGUGUCUACUGACCCUGCUAAGGUAGCCGCUGUGAG